GCCCGGCUAGCUCAGUUGGUAGAGCAUUCGACUCUUACGUCAUGGAGUUUCUCGGCGAUCUUCCCCGCCGACCCGUCCGGUGGCCGGAGGAGCCGUCGCAGGCAUCGAAUUGUCGUGGGUUCGAGCCCCACGUUGGGCG
rfam:Puccinia graminis f. sp. tritici CRL 75-36-700-3 supercont2.15 genomic scaffold, whole genome shotgun sequence.